GAUGAACGCUGGCGGCGUGCUUAACACAUGCAAGUCGAACGGUGAAGCAGGAGCUUGCUCUUGUGGAUCAGUGGCGAACGGGUGAGUAACACGUGAGCAACCUGCCCCUGACUCUGGGAUAAGCGCUGGAAACGGCGUCUAAUACUGGAUAUGUGAUGUGACCGCAUGGUCUGCAUCUGGAAAGAAUUUCGGUUGGGGAUGGGCUCGCGGCCUAUCAGCUUGUUGGUGAGGUAAUGGCUCACCAAGGCGUCGACGGGUAGCCGGCCUGAGAGGGUGACCGGCCACACUGGGACUGAGACACGGCCCAGACUCCUACGGGAGGCAGCAGUGGGGAAUAUUGCACAAUGGCGGAAGCCUGAUGCAGCAACGCCGCGUGAGGGAUGACGGCCUCCGGGUUGUAAACCUCUUUUAGCAGGGAAGAAGCGAAAGUGACGGUACCUGCAGAAAAAGCACCGGCUAACUGCGUGCCAGCCGCCGCAGUAA
rnacentral:rRNA from 1 species